AUUUAGCCUGCUAGUCGCACGAGUUCAGACUCGUGGCGAAUAGCUCAGUAACACGUGGCCAAACUACCCUUCGGAACACAAUACCCUCGGGAAACUGAGGCUAAUAGUGUAUACCAUACCACCACUGGAAUGAGUGGUAUGCCAAACGCUCCGGCGCCGAAGGAUGUGGCUGCGGCCGAUUAGGUAGACGGUGGGGUAACGGCCCACCGUGCCAAUAAUCGGUAUGGGUCAUGAGAGUGAGAACCCAGAGACGGAAUCUGAGACAAGAUUCCGGGCCCUACGGGGCGCAGCAGGCGCGAAAUUUUUACACUGCACGACAGUGCGAUAGGGGGAUCCCAAGUGCACAGGCAUAGCGCCUGUGCUUUUCGGUACCCUAAGGCGGUACCAGAAUAAGGGCUGGGCAAGACCCGGUGCCAGCCCGCCGCGGUAAUACCGGCAGCCCAAGUGAUGGCCGAUCUUAUUGGGCCUAAAGCGUCCGUAGCUGGCCGCGCAAGUCCAUCGGGAAAUCCACCUGCUCAACAGGUGGGCGCCCGGUAGAAACUGCGUGGCUUGGGACCGGAAGGCGCGACGGGUACGUCCGGGGUAGGAGUGAAAUCCCGUAAUCCUGGACGGACCGCCGAUGGCGAAAGCACGUCGCGAGAACGGAUCCGACAGUGAGGGACGAAAGCCAGGGUCUCGAACCGGAUUAGAUACCCGGGUAGUCCUGGCCGUAAACAAUGUCUGCUAGGUGUGGCUCCCACUACGAGUGGGUGCUGUGCCGUAGGGAAGCCGCUAAGCAGACCGCCUGGGAAGUACGUCCGCAAGGAUGAAACUUAAAGGAAUUGGCGGGGGAGCACUACAACCGGAGGAGCCUGCGGUUUAAUUGGACUCAACGCCGGACAUCUCACUAGCAUCGACUGUAGUAAUGACGAUCAGGUUGAUGACCUUAUCCGA
rnacentral:rRNA from 1 species